rnacentral:rRNA from 1 species
UACGUAGGCAGCGAGCGUUGUUCGGAGUUACUGGGCGUAAAGGGUGUGUAGGCGGUUGUUUUAAGUUUGGUGUGAAAUCUCCCGGCUCAACUGGGAGGGUGCGCCGAAUACUGAAUGACUCGAGUGUGGGAGAGGUGAGUGGAAUUCCUGGUGUAGCGGUGAAAAUGCGUAGAUAUCAGGAGGAACACCGGUGGUGUAGACGGCUCACUGGACCAUAACUGACGCUGAGACACGAAAAGCGUGGGGUAGCAAAACAGG